GAUAGUCCGACCUCUGCAAUCCAGGGUCGAUCUCCCCAGAAGCUUGGAGGGACUCUAGGUCUGCACCAACAGGGCUGUGAGCCUAUAAAAGAAAAAGUUAAAGCCGAACAAACAAGCAGUCAGACUGAAACACAGCCCGUAUAAGGCUCGACAAGAAAGCAAGAAAUCAAGUCUGACUUUACAAAAGAGCUCGGGGCAUCA
rnacentral:lncRNA from 1 species